UACGUAGGGGCCAAGCGUUGUCCGGAUUUAUUGGGCGUAAAGAGCUCGUAGGCGGUUGGGUAAGUCGGGUGUGAAAACUCCAGCUCAACUUGGAGACGCCACCCGAUACUGCUCUGACUUGAGUUCGGUAGGGGAGUGGGGGAAUUCCUGGUGUAGCGGUGAAAUGCGCAGAUAUCAGGAGGAACACCGGUGGCGAAGGCG
rnacentral:rRNA from 1 species